UCUGAAGAGCUAAAGACUUCCUGAAAUUUAAAAAUUAGUGCUUUUAUUUGCUUGUCCUGCUAAGACCGUAGGCAAAGGCCAUCCUCCUCCCAUUGACAGUUUAGAGUGGGCAGAAACAACCACGGUUACCCUAGAAGUAAAUCCAGAGCUGCGGGACGCUGGAGGACAAAACCAACCUUCCAGGGAAGCCGAGGAGAAGUCAUGCCUUCAAAAGAUGAAGGAACGAGGGCACAGAGAGAUUCGAGUUGUCACCCAAGCUCACAUAGCACCAGUGACAGAGGGGCUGGGAAGUUCAAGAUCCAGGCCUCAGAAGAUUUGGGGUUUGGUGAGGGCCAUCUUCUCACUGUAGCCUUACAUGGUGGAAGAGUUCAUGGACCAUUGUUGUUGCCUCUAAUAAGAGGCAUGUGUUUUCUCCAUCAGUUCAUGGAACCAUUGUUGUUGACUCUAAAAAGAAGAGAAAAGUGCUCAAGUAUCUUCACAGGAAGGCCAUUUAGAUGGUGGGUCUUUGAGUCAUGGAUCUCUCUUUAAAAAUUCUACCAAGAAACACAGACACCAAAUUUUGCAUGCAAUUUCAGGGACUUAUGGACCCCAGCUUGACUUGUCAGCCUCACAGGAAAACUAGUGGUGGGAUUUCAUUUCCAUUCUACCAAAUGAAUUUCAGUUGAUUAAAAAAUGACCAAUUGUUACACUCCAUAGAUCAGAAUCUAGCCUUUUAUACAUCUGUGAAUAUAAUCUUUUGCAGAGAUUAUUAGCCCUGUUGAAACUAAUUUUUUUUUUUUUUUUUUAGAUGGAGUCUCUGUCACCCAGGCUGGAAUGCAGUGGCUUAAUCUUGGCUCACUGCAAGCUCCACCUCCCGGGUUCACACCAUUCUCCUGCCUCAGCCUCCUGAGUAGCUAGGACUACAGGCGCCAGCCACCACGCCCAGCUAAUUUUUUUUUUUUUUUUGUACUUUUAGUAGAGACGGGGUUUUACCGUGUUAGCCAGGAUGGUCUCGAUCUCCUGAACUCGUGAUUCGCCCACCAUGGCCUCCCAAAGUGCUAGGACUACAGGCGUGAGCCACCAUACCCGGCCCUGAAACCAAUUUUAAAACACUGAAUCUCUAUCAAGCCCUCACAAUGUGCUUACCACGACUAAAUGUAUUUAUAUACAUCAUUUUAAUUCUUAAAGUCUGCAUAGAUGAAUGCACUAAAAUACUCAAGAGUAAGUAACUUUUCUAGAGUCACACAGUUUUUGAGUCACAAACUUCAAAGCCAGUAUCUAACCACCAUCUACUCCUUUGCUUUCCCACCCUAGAAGGAAAACUUUACUCUCCACCUACUAUGGUUACAAAUUUUGUAAGAUGUGUUUUCCCUGGUAGAAGAGGCUUCAAGUAACAAUCUACACCUAAUAAUAUCCAACAUUAAUUUUGAAAUUCUGACCAUUGAUCUUCAUGAAGUUCAAAAGGAAUUUACUUUUUCAGUUCUAAAAUUAACACGACCAAUUUAGUAAUUCAGAAGAUUAUUUUUGUCCAUUGUACUAGCUUAUGAUCUCCUUGAAAGCUGAAACUAUGAAUGCCUCACUUAUCCUGCUCACAUGUGGCACGCCUAGGCCUUAGGAAGAUGCCCAGUGUCAAAUACAGGAAUGUGUUUGCUCCUCUCAGUUCUCAAUGGCUUCCCAGAAGAUACCAUAGCUUCCCACAGAUGUAAACCAGGAGAAUCCUCUUGUAACAGCUUUAACAGGCCUGUUUCAUUUUAUUUCUACUGAGUAGCAUACAUCUAGCUCAUUUUAAAAUCCAGCUCUUGAUCUUUAGUUUUAAAAAUAUGUACCACUGGCUGGGCAUGGUGGCUCACGCCUGUAAUUCCAGCACUUUGGGAGGCAGAGGCAGGUGGAUCACCAGAGGUUGGGAAUUCGAAACCAGCCUAACCAACAUGGAGAAACCCCAUGUCUACUAAAAAUACAAAAUUAGCCAGAUGUGGUGGCGCAUGCCUGUAGUCCCAGCUAUUCAGGAGGCUGAGGCAGGAGAAUCGCUUGAACUCGGGAGG
rnacentral:lncRNA from 1 species